GGGGGGGGGGGGGGGGGGGGGUGGGGGGGGGGGGUGGGGGGGGGGGGGCGGGGGUUGGGGGGGGGCUCGAGGGGGGAACGGGUGGGUAGGGCGGGGGGAACGUGGCCGUGACAUGGGGGUAAGUUCGGGAAAGUGGGGCUACUACCGGAGAGGAGCGCCUGCGGCAUGGUGGGGGUUGGAAAGUUUCGGCGUUUGGGGAGGGACGCGCGGCUUAUAGGCGUGUUGGGUGGGUCGUGGCUGACCAAGGCUUUUACGGGUAGCCGGCCUGCGCGGGUGGCCGGCCACAUUGGGACUGAGCUACGGCCCAUACUCCUACGGGAGGCAGCAGCGGGGAAUAUUGCACAAUGGGCGGAAUCCUGCUGCAGCAACGCCGCGUGCGGGAUGACGGCCUUCGGGUUGUACACCGCUUUCGCCUGUGACGAAGCGUGAGUGACGGUAAUGGGUAAAGAAGCACCGGCUAACUACGUG
rnacentral:rRNA from 1 species